GAAUGGAGUUCUGACACUUGCCACAACUUGGAGGAACCUUGAGGACAUGUUAAGUAAAAUAAGCCAGGCACCAAAAAACAAAUAUGAUAUGAUUCUACUGGUAUGAGGCAGAGUCAGCAAGGUCCAAGAAGGCUGAGAGGUCAAAGGUCAAGUAAAAGAGAACGGAAGUGAGCACAAGAUACGGUGGCAUGCAGGGACGAGGUUUCGCCAUCUUGCCCAGCCUGGUCUCAAACUCCUGAGCUCGAGCCAUCUGCCCGCCUCGGCCUCCCAAAGUGCUGGGAUUACAGGUUUGAGCCACCGCGGCCUUAAUCUUUUCUUCACAGCAGACUUCUUCCUCUAGAGUUUGAGGAGUUAUGAUAAGGCAAAUACCCUUAUAACCACCACCCAAAUCAAGAAAUAGAACUGUGCCGGCCACCUCAGAAACCCCAC